AGAGUUUGAUCAUGGCUCAGGAUGAACGCUAGCGGCAGGCCUAAUACAUGCAAGUCGAACGGGAUCCAUUUUUAGCUUGCUAGGAAUGGUGAGAGUGGCGCACGGGUGCGUAACGCGUGAGCAACCUGCCCAUAUCAGGGGGAUAGCCCGAAGAAAUUCGGAUUAACACCGCAUAAGAUUACAGUUCCGCAUGGGACAUUAAUUAAAUAUUUAUAGGAUAUGGAUGGGCUCGCGUGACAUUAGCUAGUUGGUAGGGUAACGGCUUACCAAGGCUACGAUGUCUAGGGGCUCUGAGAGGAGAAUCCCCCACACUGGUACUGAGACACGGACCAGACUCCUACGGGAGGCAGCAGUAAGGAAUAUUGGUCAAUGGAGGGAACUCUGAACCAGCCAUGCCGCGUGCAGGAUGACUGCCCUAUGGGUUGUAAACUGCUUUUGUCGGGGAAUAAACCUCUCUACGUGUAGAGAGCUGAAUGUACCCGAAGAAUAAGGAUCGGCUAACUCCGUGCCAGCAGCCGCGGUAAUACGGAGGAUCCGAGCGUUAUCCGGAUUUAUUGGGUUUAAAGGGUGCGUAGGCGGCCUUAUAAGUCAGGGGUGAAAUACGGCAGCUCAACUGUCGCAGUGCCUUUGAUACUGUAGGGCUUGAAUCUAUUUGAAGUGGGCGGAAUAAGACAAGUAGCGGUGAAAUGCAUAGAUAUGUCUUAGAACUCCGAUUGCGAAGGCAGCUCACUAAGUUAGUAUUGACGCUGAUGCACGAAAGCGUGGGGAUCGAACAGGAUUAGAUACCCUGGUAGUCCACGCCCUAAACGAUGAUAACUCGAUGUUGGCGAUACACAGUCAGCGUCCCAGCGAAAGCGUUAAGUUAUCCACCUGGGGAGUACGCCCGCAAGGGUGAAACUCAAAGGAAUUGACGGGGGCCCGCACAAGCGGAGGAGCAUGUGGUUUAAUUCGAUGAUACGCGAGGAACCUUACCCGGGCUUGAAAGUUAGUGACGGAUGCAGAGACGCAUCCUUCCUUCGGGACACGAAACUAGGUGCUGCAUGGCUGUCGUCAGCUCGUGCCGUGAGGUGUUGGGUUAAGUCCCGCAACGAGCGCAACCCCUAUGUUUAGUUGCCAGCACGUAAUGGUGGGGACUCUAGACAGACUGCCUGCGUAAGCAGUGAGGAAGGUG
rnacentral:rRNA from 1 species